GGAAGGGUGUCCGAGCGGUUUAAGGAGCUAGUCUUGAAAACUAGUGAUACGGCAACGUACCGUGGGUUCGAAUCCCACCCCUUCCG
rnacentral:tRNA from 1 species